UUACGGCCAUAUCAGGUUGAAACACCGGAUCCCAUACGGUCAUCGAAGUUAAGCAAAAUCAAGCCUGGUUAGUACAUGAAUAUGCGACCGCAUGGGAAUACCAAGUGCU